UCUAACUCCUGACCAGCGGCCGCGGUAAUACGGAGGAUCCAAGCGUUGUCCGGAAUCAUUGGGUUUAAAGGGUCCGUAGGCGGUCUUAUAAGUCAGUGGUGAAAGCCCAUCGCUCAACGAUGGAACUGCCAUUGAUACUGUAAGACUUGAAUGCUUAGGAAGUAACUAGAAUAUGUAGUGUAGCGGUGAAAUGCUUAGAUAUUACAUGGAAUACCAAUUGCGAAGGCAGGUUACUACUAAGUGAUUGACGCUGAUGGACGAAAGCGUGGGGAGCGAACAGGAUUAGAUACCCGUGUAGUC
rnacentral:rRNA from 1 species